CCUACGGGAGGCAGCAGUGAGGAAUAUUGGUCAAUGGACGAGAGUCUGAACCAGCCAAGUCGCGUGAAGGAAGACGGAUCUAUGGUUUGUAAACUUCUUUAGUGCGGGAACAAAGCGGCGUCGUGACGCCGGAUGAGUGUACCGCAAGAAUAAGCAUCGGCUAACUCCGUGCCAGCAGCCGCGGUAAUACGGAGGAUGCGAGCGUUAUCCGGAUUUAUUGGGUUUAAAGGGAGCGCAGGCUGCGAGGCAAGUCAGCGGUCAAAUGUCGGGGCUCAACCCCGGCCUGCCGUUGAAACUGUCCUGCUAGAGUUCGAGUGAGGUAUGCGGAAUGCGUUGUGUAGCGGUGAAAUGCAUAGAUAUGACGCAGAACUCCGAUUGCGAAGGCAGCAUACCAACUCGCGACUGACGCUGAGGCUCGAAAGCGUGGGUAUCGAACAGGAUUAGAUACCCUUGUAGUC
rnacentral:rRNA from 1 species